GUUUGCCACCGAAUCAAUUUCAUGCCACAAAUAAGUUGACGGGAGUACAAGGAUUAUUUUGUCGAUCCCAAAAACAUGUUUCAACUACAUACUGUGUAUAACACCCAAUGCAUAGUAUACAUGGAAGAUUUUUUUUGUUGUUGUCAGUUUUGCACCAUUCAGUCAGUCUCAACCAGUGCAGAACUUUUAAAACUCCAAACCGUGAAGCGGCACUGAACGCACACGUGCCAACCCGCGUGCAACAAAAUCUCAUCACGCCGUAUACAUUGCGAAUCACAUCCGCCACUCGGCCUCAAUCACCGCUGAUGUGCGGCAAGUGGUGAGUCAUUAAGAUUUAAGCCCCGUCCCGGGCUGCCAUGUCCGACAUGUGUUUGUGCGCCCUCUCAGCGGCUGUCGCCCAGCGUUAAGCUCCACUUAGAUGAGAUGAGUGCUUAUUAUGGCAAACUCCUUCAUCUGGAAGCGGGAGGGAAGGUGCCGUCUUUGCACCUGAACGUCUCACCGGCAGCAUACAGGAAAUAUAAUCGACCAAACCCGCUUAUGAUGUUCAAUUUGGAGCUCUCAAUUGAAACGCAAGUUUUAUGGCUGUGUGUUUCUAAUCAUAGUGUGCAACAAGAAUGAUUUAUUUCUCAAAGUCGCAACCUGGUGUCCUUGUCCCUCGAGGAUCUGCCCGAUGGCCUCCAGCAGCGAGUCACAUCAUCACGAGCUCGCAUAAUUACAUAUUUACUUGCUCAGCAUUCAUCUUCUCCGCCCGCCACGGCUUUGGGCAGAACAGACUGACUAGCAUUGAUUCAGCUGCCCCUGGACGACGCUUUGUUUGCCCCAUUAAGCUCGUUUGUGCGCUGGUGGUCUGCCAGUGCAGCCUUGUAAUCGAUGUCAACUUACUGCUCCGUCCAUCUGUUGAUUUGCCUCCAGCCUCUCAGUUGAUGGUUUCCUCCCAUGUGUUGUCCCAUCCUGAGGCCAGGAAACUUGCCUUCAGCCUGGGGUGGCUUACUAGGGAGAUACUCAGUCAUUCAGGUCAGGCUGAAGUCAAGAACCCAUGAUUUCUGACAGACACUACAUUUCCAUAAACUGGAAGGCAGAUUUCACUUCCAGAUAUCCUGGAUUAUUUCGAAGUUUCACUUUUACCGUGCACUGAUUGGAGUCACCUCGUGCCUGAUGAAGCAAAGCAGCCCCAGAAAAUAACACCUCUGUGCGAUAGUCCGAUGUGAUUGAUCCCAAAACUCUGUCCAAGGCUUUGUAACUCGCAAGAUUGUAGUUGUCAGUUUCAAGUGAUUUCAUUGAAGUUUUAUUUUUUUAACAUACAGACAGUUUUGAUUGUGUAUGAAACGCCUUUAACAUUACAAUGCACUUCAUAUCCUGGCCAUUACUUUUUUUUUUUUUUUUUUUAUGGACUGUUGUUCGUAUAGUGAUUUACAAAGUGCGCCAAAGACUGAAUGAAGCCAUUUUAUUAGAAGCUCAGUUUAUGAACAGAGGGACUUUUUCAGCAUCACCAAAAAGUUGGAAAGUCUUGCAUGUUGUGAUAGUGUUACCUGACAAUGAGGGUCAUGGCGUGCUUGCGAUUUGCGUGAGUCAUUGGCAAAAUCAUCUUAACCCCCCCCCCCAAAAAAAAAAAAACCUCUCUUACCCUGCCAACGUUGCACUGAUGCCAACACCGGUCACCAGCAGCGCUCGCACGUCUUGCCUUCAUCAACAUGAUGGACGCGCUCCUGAGUCAGUGGCAGUAACGCAACACACACGCCAAUGAAUCAGAUGAGAAGCAGGGAGAGGGAAAAAAAAAAAAAAACCCAC